rnacentral:misc_RNA from 1 species
AGUGGAUGGCUUCCAGGUUCAAGGUAUGAUGAUUCUGAGAUUUCCUUCUCGAAUAAAACGUUCAGUCCUAGAGCUAUUAUAUUAACCCCUAAAGUCCUAAACUUCAUUUGAUGAAUGCCAAUUGAAUAUUCUAUAUGACUUGAUGACCAUAAAGUAUCUUUUGAUGGCUUUUGCUAAUACUAUAUGCGUUAUUCUUUAGCUAAGUAAAUAUCAAUAAUAAUAAGUGCCAAUAUUAUGUUAUCAGAAGAGGUAUAUGUGUUCAUAAUGUAUGGAUGAGGGACUAGUUCAUCCACUUGUUAUACAAAAAAAUCCAGUUGCCAUUUUGUAUCUAGAGAACAUUCCAUAUUUGUUAGUUACGAGUUUGUCAACAUGCAGGGGCUUAAAGAACAAAAUAGA